UCUCGGUCUCUGCUUGCUCUCUAUUAAUCCCACCCCCGCCCCCACCUAUGCAGUGUGAGGGUACGUUUGUUAGUGAAGCGUGGCGACUCUGCAGUGGUGCGAUGCACCUGCAGUUGGAUGAGCACUUGACACCAGAGAGCUUUUACACAGAGCUCCACAAGCAUUCACAUGCACACAUAUGCUCUCAAAAAAAAAAAAAAAAAAAAAAAACAGAAAUGCUCCCACAGAAACCCAGUUGCACACGGCACGUUAUUUGUCCCCCCUUCUUCAUAUAGCCUCGUGUUAGAGUGCGUGCAUGUGUCUGUGCGUGUGCAUGUGCGGCAGUGCGGUGACAUUCAGAGACUGCAAUUCAGUUUAUUUCUGCCUUCCUCACUCAGUCUCCCUCUUGUGAUCUCCCUCUCUUUCACUCCAUCCUUUCUCUAUCUAAUCCUGCCUCCUAUUUGCGUUUUCCUUCUCAAUAUUGUGCUCUUUCUUUCCUCUUAAUCACUGAAAUGUUUUCUCCUUCUAAAAACCCAUUUCUCUAUCGCACACAUUCAGUUUCUUCUCAAACCUUUUUCUCAUUUUCUACCUCCUCCUCAUCAAAAGCAACUUGCCUUUCUGCUAUUUCUAGUUUUUCCCACUGCAUGCCCCUCUCUCUCUCUCCCUCACUCUCUCUGCUUUUUUUCUCUCACACCCUCCCUCUUUCCUCUUCAUCCUCCUUCGACAGACAGAAUGCUGCAGCAUCCACUGAGUAAGGUAACGUGUGUGUGAGUAAGAGUCGGGUAAUUUUUGCUACCUGCUCUGCAGCUAAAGGGAUCUGUUUUCCCAUCAGUUCUCUGCUAUUGGAUAUUACUGGAGAAUACACAGAGAAUAGAAAGGGUGAAUUUAAGGCAGCAAAAUACUGACAGAAGGAGGCAACCAUGGCCCGGCUGAACUGGUGUCUGGCAGCAGUGAUAAGCUGGGGGAAGUUCCUCUUCUCUUGUUUCUUUCCAUUGAGAGCAGCUAGGAGGGAUAAGCCAGAAGACUUUGAGGAUGUCCAUUCCCACACCUUCAAGGCUAAGACCUUCAAAAAGGCAAAGAGUUGUGCAGUAUGCAAGCAGGCUUUGACGAAGGAGGGCCUAGUUUGCAAAGGUCAGUACUGCUAUUACAACAUAUUCUAUAUUAUUAUGAUGGUGACAUACUAUGAUUCAGCACCAGACUAUCCUUGGAUAGCUCGUCAAAAGAUCUGUGUUCAUUAUUUUGUCCAAGUAUGGUUACUGAAUUUGUGUUUUUGAUACAAAAUAUGUGUUGUAAAAAUGUGAAAAAACAGAACAUCCAUAUUAUUAUUAAAUCUAGUUAUAUCUUUUCAUAUAGCAUACACAUUUAAGAAAUAUAUUUUGGCAGCAGCAAGGCUGUUAAAAUUAGCCUGCUGAUUUAACAUAUAGUAAAAAAAAAAAAAAAAAAAA